GGAGGGGUGCCCGAGCGGCUUAAGGGGCUCGUCUCGAAAACGAGUAGGGGGAAACCCCACGUGGGUUCGAAUCCCACCCUCUCCGCCA
rnacentral:tRNA from 1 species